AUUGAACGCUGGCGGCAUGCCUUACACAUGCAAGUCGAACGGCAGCGGGCCCUUCGGGGUGCCGGCGAGUGGCGAACGGGUGAGUAAUGCAUCGGAACGUACCCGGGAGAGGGGGAUAACCGGCCGAAAGGCUGGCUAAUACCGCAUGAACUCGGAAGAGCAAAGCGGGGGACCUUCGGGCCUCGCGCUCUUGGAGCGGCCGAUGUCCGAUUAGGCUAGUUGGUGGGGUAAAGGCCCACCAAGGCGACGAGCGGUAGCGGGUCUGAGAGGACGAUCCGCCACACUGGGACUGAGACACGGCCCAGACUCCUACGGGAGGCAGCAGUGGGGAAUCUUGGACAAUGGGCGCAAGCCUGAUCCAGCAAUGCCGCGUGGGUGAAGAAGGCCUUCGGGUUGUAAAGCCCUUUCGGCGGGGAAGAAAUCGGUCAGGCGAAUAGUCUGGCCGGAUGACGGUACCCGCAGAAGAAGCACCGGCUAACUACGUG
rnacentral:rRNA from 1 species